rnacentral:rRNA from 1 species
UACGGGGGAUGCAAGCGUUAUUCGGAAUUACUGGGCGUAAAGCGUGCGCAGGCGGUUAUGUAAGACAGAUGUGAAAUCCCCGGGCUCAACCUGGGAACUGCAUUUGUGACUGCAUAGCUAGAGUACGGCAGAGGGGGAUGGAAUUCCGCGUGUAGCAGUGAAAUGCGUAGAUAUGCGGAGGAACACCGAUGGCGAAGGCAAUCCCCUGGGCCUGUACUGACGCUCAUGCACGAAAGCGUGGGGAGCAAACAGG